CCCCUAGUAACGGCGAGUGAAGCGGGAACAGCUCAAAUUUGAAAUCUGGCCCUUGGGUCCGAGUUGUAAUUUGCAGAGGAUGCUUUUGGUGCGGUGCCUUCCGAGUUCCCUGGAACGGGACGCCUUAGAGGGUGAGAGCCCCGUACGGUUGGACACCAAGCCUAUGUAAAGCUCCUUCGACGAGUCGAGUAGUUUGGGAAUGCUGCUCAAAAUGGGAGGUAUAUUUCUUCUAAAGCUAAAUAUUGGCCAGAGACCGAUAGCGCACAAGUAGAGUGAUCGAAAGAUGAAAAGCACUUUGAAAAGAGGGUUAAAUAGCACGUGAAAUUGUUGAAAGGGAAGGAUUUAUGACCAGACUUUUUCUAGGGGGAUCAUCCGGUGUUCUCACCGGUGCACUUCCCCUAGUUGAGGCCAGCAUCGGUUUCUGUCGGGGGAUAAAAGCUUUAGGAAUGUGGCUCCCUCCGGGGAGUGUUAUAGCCUGUUGCAUAAUACCCUGACGGGGACCGAGGUUCGCGCAUUGCAAGGAUGCUGGCGUAAUGGUUAUUAAUCACCCGUCUUGAAACACGGACCAAGGAGUCGAACAUUUGUGCGAGUGUUUGGGUGUUAAACCCUCACGCGUAAUGAAAGUGAACGGAGGUGAGAGCCUUUCGGGGUGCAUCAUCGACCGAUCCUGAUGUCUUCGGAUGGAUUUGAGUAAGAGCAUUAAUGUUCGGACCCGAAAGAUGGUGAACUAUGCGUGGAUAGGGUGAAGCCAGAGGAAACUCUGGUGGAGGCUCGCAGCGGUUCUGACGUGCAAAUCGAUCGUCAAAUCUGCGCAUGGGGGCGAAAGACUAAUCGA
rnacentral:rRNA from 2 species